GACGAACGCUGGCGGCGUGCCUAAUACAUGCAAGUAGAACGCUGAAGGAGGAGCUUGCUUCUUCGGAUGAGUUGCGAACGGGUGAGUAACGCGUAGGUAACCUGCCUGGUAGCGGGGGAUAACUAUUGGAAACGAUAGCUAAUGCCGCAUAACAGUAGAUGUUGCAUGACAUUUGCUUAAAAGGUGCAAUUGCAUCACUACCAGAUGGACCUGCGUUGUAUUAGCUAGUUGGUGGGGUAACGGCUCACCAAGGCGACGAUACAUAGCCGACCUGAGAGGGUGAUCGGCCACACUGGGACUGAGACACGGCCCAGACUCCUACGGGAGGCAGCAGUAGGGAAUCUUCGGCAAUGGACGGAAGUCUGACCGAGCAACGCCGCGUGGGUGAAGAAGGUUUUCGGAUCGUAAAGCUCUGUUGUAAGAGAAGAACGAGUGUGAGAGUGGAAAGUUCACACUGUGACGGUAUCUUACCAGAAAGGGACGGCUAACUACGUGCCAGCAGCCGCGGUAAUACGUAGGUCUCGAGCGUUGUCCGGAUUUAUUGGGCGUAAAGCGAGCGCAGGCGGUUAGAUAAGUCUGAAGUUAAAGGCUGUGGCUUAACCAUAGUACGCUUUGGAAACUGUUUAACUUGAGUGCAAGAGGGGAGAGUGGAAUUCCAUGUGUAGCGGUGAAAUGCGUAGAUAUAUGGAGGAACACCGGUGGCGAAAGCGGCUCUCUGGCUUGUAACUGACGCUGAGGCUCGAAAGCGUGGGGAGCAAACAGG
rnacentral:rRNA from 1 species